rnacentral:rRNA from 1 species
CCUACGGGAGGCAGCAGUGGGGAAUAUUGGACAAUGGGGGCAACCCUGAUCCAGCCAUGCCGCGUGUGUGAAGAAGGCCCUCGGGUUGUAAAGCACUUUCAGUGAGGAAGAACGCCUGGUGGUUAAUACCCAUCAGGAAAGACAUCACUCACAGAAGAAGCACCGGCUAACUCCGUGCCAGCAGCCGCGGUAAUACUGAGGGUGCGAGCGUUAAUCGGAAUUACUGGGCGUAAAGCGCGCGUAGGUGGCUUGAUAAGCCGGUUGUGAAAGCCCCGGGCUCAACCUGGGAACGGCAUCCGGAACUGUCAAGCUAGAGUGCAGGAGAGGAAGGUAGAAUUCCCGGUGUAGCGGUGAAAUGCGUAGAGAUCGGGAGGAAUACCAGUGGCGAAGGCGGCCUUAUGGACUGACACUGACACUGAGGUGCGAAAGCGUGGGUAGCAAACAGGAUUAGAUACCCCAGUAGUC